UACGUAGGGUGCAAGCGUUGUCCGGAAUUAUUGGGCGUAAAGAGCUCGUAGGCGGUCUGUCGCGUCGGCUGUGAAAACUCGGGGCUCAACCCCGAGCCUGCAGUCGAUACGGGGCAGACUAGAGUGCGGUAGGGGAGACUGGAAUUCCUGGUGUAGCGGUGAAAUGCGCAGAUAUCAGGAGGAACACCGGUGGCGAAGGCGGGUCUCUGGGCCGUAACUGACGCUGAGGAGCGAAAGCGUGGGGAGCAAACAGG
rnacentral:rRNA from 1 species